rnacentral:rRNA from 1 species
CAGCCGCCGCGGUAAUACGUAGGGUGCGAGCGUUAAUCGGAAUUACUGGGCGUAAAGCGUGCGCAGGCGGUUUUGUAGGACAGGCGUGAAAUCCCCGGGCUCAACCUGGGAAUGGCGCUUGUGACUGCAAAGCUAGAGUGCGGCAGAGGGGGAUGGAAUUCCGCGUGUAGCAGUGAAAUGCGUAGAUAUGCGGAGGAACACCGAUGGCGAAGGCAAUCCCCUGGGCCUGCACUGACGCUCAUGCACGAAAGCGUGGGGAGCAAACAGGAUUAGAUACCCGCGUAGUCCCUGUCUCUUAUAC